AUAACGUUGCAAGCUCAUAACGCGCAGUUACUUUUACACCUUAUUUCAAUCACUAUGAAAUUAUUUCUUUCGAAAGAAUAUGAUAUUUGUAUCUGCUGAGAAAUUCUCAACUCAUUGACGGAGAGAAUUCAACAAAAAAACUGCAGAAGAAGAAGAUGAAGAUGAAGAUGAAGAUAAAGAAGAAAAAGAAGAAGAAGAAGAGGAUGAAGCUUUUCAUUUGCAAUAACAGUAUCGUUUCUUUUUGUUUUUCAUAUAUCUAAAUAAUAACCUCAUCGUCUUACAAGACGAUAACACGA